AGAGUUUGAUCCCGGCUCAGAAUCAACGCUGGCGGCGCGCCUAACACAUGCAAGUCGAACGAGAAAGCUGGAGCAAUCCAGUGAGUAAAGUGGCGUACGGGUGAGUAACACGUGGAUCAUCUACCUCUUAGUGUGGAAUAACCCAGGGAAACCGGGGCUAAUACCGCAUAAGUCCGUGAGGAGAAAGCAGCAAUGCGCUGAGAGAGGAGUCCGCGGCCGAUUAGCUAGUUGGCAGGGUAAAAGCCUACCAAGGCAGAGAUCGGUAGCCGGCCUGAGAGGGCACACGGCCACACUGGCACUGAAACACGGGCCAGACUCCUACGGGAGGCAGCAGUGGGGAAUCUUGCACAAUGGGGGAAACCCUGAUGCAGCGACGCCGCGUGAGCGAUGAAGCCCUUCGGGGUGUAAAGCUCUUUCGGCAGGGAAGAUUAUGACGGUACCUGCAGAAGCAGCUGCGGCUAACUACGUGCCAGCAGCCGCGGUAAUACGUAGGCAGCGAGCGUUGUUCGGAGUUACUGGGCGUAAAGGGUGUGUAGGCGGUCGCCUAAGUUUGGUGUGAAAUCUCCCGGCUCAACCGGGAGGGUGCGCCGAAUACUGAGUGACUAGAGUGUGGGAGAGGAAAGUGGAAUUCCUGGUGUAGCGGUGAAAUGCGUAGAUAUCAGGAGGAACACCGGCGGUGUAGACGGCUUUCUGGACCAUAACUGACGCUGAAACACGAAAGCGUGGGUAGCAAACAGGAUUAGAUACCCUGGUAGUCCACGCCCUAAACGAUGCAUAUUUGGUGUGGGUCAUUCAGUUGAUCCGUGCCGGAGCUAACGCGUUAAAUAUGCCGCCUGGGGAGUACAGUCGCAAGGCUGAAACUCAAAG
rnacentral:rRNA from 1 species